rnacentral:rRNA from 1 species
UACGUAGGGUGCGAGCGUUGUCCGGAAUUACUGGGCGUAAAGGCUCGUAGGCGGCCAACUAAGUCAGACGUGAAAUCCCUCGGCUUAACCGGGGAACUGCAUCUGAUACUGGAUGGCUUGAGUUCGGGAGAGGGAGUGUGGAAUUCCAGGUGUAGCGGUGAAAUGCGUAGAUAUCUGGAGGAACACCGGUGGCGAAGGCGGCAUCCUGGACCGACACUGACGCUGAGGAGCG